GUGUCAGCCGCCGCGGUAAUACGAAGGGGGCUAGCGUUGUUCGGAAUUACUGGGCGUAAAGCGCACGUAGGCGGACUUAUAAGUCAGGGGUGAAAUCCCGGGGCUCAACCUCGGAACUGCCUUUGAUACUGUAAGUCUCGAGACCGGAAGAGGUGAGUGGAAUUCCUAGUGUAGAGGUGAAAUUCGUAGAUAUUAGGAAGAACACCAGUGGCGAAGGCGGCUCACUGGUCCGGUUCUGACGCUGAGGUGCGAAAGCGUGGGGAGCAAACAGGAUUAGAUACCCUUGUAGUCC
rnacentral:rRNA from 1 species